UCUGAAGAGUCUCCUCCAGCACCAGAAUUCAAAAGCAUCAAUUCUUUGGCGCUUUUGAAUUAUAGUGCUGGAGGAGACUCUUGAGA